rnacentral:rRNA from 1 species
ACGCUCGACACCUACGGGACAGCAGUGGGGGAUAUUGCACAAUGGGGGGAACCCUGAUGCAGCGACGCCGCGUGAGGGAAGAAGGUUUUCGGAUUGUAAACCUCUGUCUUUAGUGACGAUAAUGACGGUAGCUAAAGAGGAAGCCACGGCUAACUACGUACCAGCAGCCGCGGUAAUCUGAGCGGGCUGGCAAGGC